CACUCAGUUGAAAAUCGAUUUGACACUCAGUAUAAAUAAUGUCGAGCAAACUCUUAUUAUUUCAUUCAUUUUAACUACUGUUCAAUGCUCAACCGUUUGACUUUCAUUUUUCAGAUACUUGAAUAUUUAUCUAUAAUGCCAUAUAAUUUUUAUCUUUUUCUAUAAAGGAAAUUCUUCUAUCCGUACAUUUGAGAUUAUUCAUGAAUUUAUGGUAUUUUUGAAAAGGAUAUAUAGUAAAAAUUUAUGAAGAUUUUUUAUUAUUCUGAGAAUAACGAAUGCUUAAGAGUAAAUCAGUUAAACAUGAUGGUUAAUCACAUUAGCCAUAACUGAAAAUAGUUAGAGUAUACAUUACAGAAUCAAAAGCUGAAAAAUUAAUGAAUAAAACCUAUCACUGAAAGCAAUUAUAUGACGAUGACAACCAUUAUAGUUAGCCGAUUUAUUGAUCGAAAUCGGUUUAUUGUGUGAAUAAUUCUUUUUCCCACGAAAGAACAGGAAAUAUGUAAGAGAAUAGGAAAAAUGUAUAAAUGUUGAACGAAAGAAAGGAGAUGAGAUCUGGGAUAGAAUCUACAUCAGAUUCGCAUCUAGAAUUUUAAAAUAGAACAUGCAAAAGAGUCUUUGGUAAUACCGAAACCCGAAUCGACGAGAAACCGAUAGUAGUAGAGUCGCGUGGCAAGUCACUUGGUUCCAUUCCCGACGUGACUCUUAGCGGUUUCUCUACGGACAAGAAAACGUAACGGAUUUAGUGCUUCUGAGGAUUCGAUAUAGUGACGUUAGUAUUGCGAAUGUAUGCAAAGAGGACUGAGAACUAAGCAUGAAUUUCAAUGAUUUUAUAUACACCGGAAACACAAACGUGUAUAAAGUUUGGGUACAAUUGAGCGGCUUGGAAGGAUAAAAUGACAAAAUAGGAAAAUUGUAAAGAUAAUAAAAGAAAAAAAGAAUUAAUUUAAAUGUAUACACAAGGUGUACUGUUGAAAUUGUUUGUUAGGCACACCACUUAUGCCCUCAUAAUGCACCCGUAUUUAUUUUUGUGAUAUCAACAUGGUUUCAAAACCAUGUCAAAUGAAAAGAAUCAUCACAAGAAGUUCAACUUCAAGAAGAAGUUAAAAGUUCACGUGAAAACAUUAAAUAACUUCAUUAUGAAACUUACAAUUAUGUAAAUAUGAAAAGAGUCAUGUUGAAUAUGAGUUUAAUAAACGGAAAAUACUACUUGGAAAGAGUAAAAGAGUUUUUGUUGACAAAAAUUACACAUUGAAUCAUUAAAAAUAUUUCAUUUCAACAUUUUUACAUCAAAAUUAAUCUAAAGUAAAGGAAUAGAAAUAUGUAGAUCAUCAAUUGAAUGAAGAAAUUCAUGGAUGAAGAUAAGAAAGAAGAUUGAUUCUGUGAUAAUCAAGCAACCUUUUGUUUGCUACAUAUUAAUAGCUUACAAAUAUAUCUCUUUCACGAAAUUCUGAAUAAUGUCAACUAAAAUAACCUCUCCUACGAAAGUCUAGAGCUGUUUGAAUUUACUUGAAAUCAAAAUUCACAACAGAAAAUCUGAAUGGCAACCAAAAUGAAGUUCCCUUCAACUUUAAUACAGACUGAAAUAAUAGUGAACCACAUUACA